rnacentral:rRNA from 1 species
UACGUAGGGUGCGAGCGUUAAUCGGAAUUACUGGGCGUAAAGCGUGCGCAGGCGGUUACCUAAGCCAGGCGUGAAAUCCCCGGGCUUAACCUGGGAAUUGCGUUUGGGACUGGGUAGCUAGAGUGUGGCAGAGGGAGGUGGAAUUCCACGUGUAGCAGUGAAAUGCGUAGAGAUGUGGAGGAACACCGAUGGCGAAGGCAGCCUCCUGGGCCAGCACUGACGCUCAUGCACGAAAGCGUGGGGAGCAAACAGG